GCCCAGAGAGGUGGGCAACUACCACUCAGGGCCGGAAAGUUCUCCAAACUCGGUCAUUUAGAGGAAGUAAAAGUCGUAACAAGGUCUCCGUUGGUGAACCAGCGGAGGGAUCAUUACCGAGUUAUACAACUCAUCAACCCUGUGAACAUACCUAUAACGUUGCCUCGGCGGGAACAGACGGCCCCGUAACACGGGCCGCCCCCGCCAGAGGACCCCCUAACUCUGUUUCUAUAAUGUUUCUUCUGAGUAAACAAGCAAAUAAAUUAAAACUUUCAACAACGGAUCUCUUGGCUCUGGCAUCGAUGAAGAACGCAGCGAAAUGCGAUAAGUAAUGUGAAUUGCAGAAUUCAGUGAAUCAUCGAAUCUUUGAACGCACAUUGCGCCCGCCAGUAUUCUGGCGGGCAUGCCUGUUCGAGCGUCAUUACAACCCUCAGGCCCCCGGGCCUGGCGUUGGGGAUCGGCGGAAGCCCCCUGCGGGCACAACGCCGUCCCCCAAAUACAGUGGCGGUCCCGCCGCAGCUUCCAUUGCGUAGUAGCUAACACCUCGCAACUGGAGAGCGGCGCGGCCACGCCGUAAAACACCCAACUUCUGAAUGU
rnacentral:rRNA from 1 species